GAGUACUGUAGAGGGGUAGAAUUUCAGGUGUAGCGGUGAAAUGCGUAGAGAUCUGAAGGAAUACCGGUGGCGAAGGCGGCCCCCUGGACAGAUACUGACACUCAGAUGCGAAAGCGUGGGGAGCAAACAGGAUUAGAUACCCUGGUAGUCCACGCCGUAAACGAUGUCUACUUGGAGGUUGUGGCCUUGAGC
rnacentral:rRNA from 1 species